rnacentral:rRNA from 1 species
GACGAACGCUGGCGGCGUGCUUAACACAUGCAAGUCGAACGGACGAGUGAGAUAAGUUUACUUAACCACAAGUUAGUGGCGGACGGGUGAGUAACACGUGGAUAAUCUACCUGCAACACCGGGAUAACGCUGUGAAAACGGUGCUAAUACCGGAUACGUUCCCUUGUGCGCAUGUAUGAGGGAAGAAAGCUCAGGCGGUUGCAGAUGAGUCCGCGGCUGAUUAGCUAGUUGGUGAGGUAAAGGCUCACCAAGGCGAUGAUCAGUAGCCGGCCUGAGAGGGUGAACGGCCACACUGGGACUGAGACACGGCCCAGACUCCUACGGGAGGCAGCAGUGGGGAAUCUUCCGCAAUGGGCGCAAGCCUGACGGAGCAACGCCGCGUGGGUGAAGAAGGCCUUCGGGUUGUAAAGCCCUGUCUUAUGGGAAGAAGUCAGUGACGGUACCAUAGGAGGAAGCCACGGCUAACUACGUG